rnacentral:lncRNA from 1 species
CUGGCAGGUGUGCAGGCACCCACGCACUCUCUUGUCCCUUGCAGCGGCUGGCUGUCGGCAAUUGGAUUCUUCCAGUACAGCCCGGGCGCUGCCGUGGUCAUGCUGCUUCCAGCCAUCAUGUUCUCCGUGUCGGCUGCCAUGAUGGCCAUCGCGAUCAUGAAGGUGCACAGGAUCUACCGAGGGGCCGGCGGAAGCUUCCAGAAGGCACAGACGGAGUGGAACACGGGCACUUGGCGGAACCCACCGUCGAGGGAGGCCCAGUACAACAACUUCUCAGGCAACAGCCUGCCCGAGUACCCCACUGUGCCCAGCUACCCGGGCAGUGGCCAGUGGCCUUAGAGGGAUCCAGCCCUGCCCCCACCGCCCACCACCUCCUCCCCUUCAUUCCUGCUGCUACCCCUGGUCCCGAGGGCUGGGAGUACCUGGGGCCCCAUCCCCCAAGCUGGGAUGGUGGAAGCCGGUGGUGGCCACAGACCGCCCCCCUCCUGCCAGGGCCACAGAACCCGUGUUCAUCUCAUCCGAGAGCGGAGUUCCUCACAAGCACUCCCCAGGAGCCCUUGGCCUCUGCCGUCCACAGGACGCCCUCUUGCUCCCGGAAACGUGUGGUCAUCCGCCGUCCACUGCACGGCUGGUACGGCCUUGUCUUCAGGUCUCGAGGCCUGACUCCGGGGGACAGGUGGCAGCAGGUCGGCCGCCCUCCCAUCCUCCCAGAGCUGCAGGCGCUGAGGUCAGAGCGGGUCUGAUGGGGAGCUCCGUCUCACACCGGCCACCCGCCGUCACCAUGGCAGAUGCCCUUGGCCGGAACUAAUAAGAGGCGUCGGGGCCAGCUUCCGGUCCCCUGCAGUGAUAGAGGGCUUGGUGCCUAGCCGAGUCCUCGCUGUCCCUGCCAUCCCCUGAUCUGUGUGGCUCCAGCCUCGCCCCCUCCCCACGUGCACCAUACCUGGGGAGUUCCUGGUCCAGGGUGUCCUGGGGCCACCCUCCCUGCCUCCAAAACAGGGAUCCCUGGCAGGCUGUCUUUCCACGCCCCUGAGUUCAGAGUCGGGGACCCAGGCCAGGUCGGGAGCACAGCCGCUCCCCAAACCCAGCAGACCGGCAGAGAGCCGGUUUACCAGCAGCCGGAGCCCUGCAGGAGAGGCCUUUUUGUUUUGUUUUGUUUUGUUUUUUCUCUUUUGAGACAGAGUUUCACUCUGUCGCCCAGGCUGGAGUGCAGUGGUGUGAUCUCGGCUCACUGCAACCUCUGCCUCCCGUGUUCAAGCAGUUCUCCUGCCUCAGCCUCCCAAAUAGCUGGGAUUACAGUUGCCUGCCACCGCGCCCAGCUAAUUUUUAUAUUUUUAGUACAGAUGGGGUUUCACCAUGUUGGCCAGGCUGGUCUCGAACUCCUGACCUCAAGUGAUCCACCCGCCUUGGCCUCCCAAAGUGCUGGGAUNNNNNNNNNNGUCCCCUCACCCCCCAACUCCCCCUGGAACACCUCUCCCAGGCAAGACAUUUCCACAGCACCAUUCACAACGGUUGGGCCAAAAAGAAACUUUUCCUUCAUCAUUUCCUGCACUCGCUGACCACAACUUUGGACACCCCAGGCUGCCACCCCUCACCACCCGUUCACCCCCAGGAUGCUGUUGCUGUAGGACGCCUGCUGCCCUGGAGCCCUCCCCGGGAUGUGGGCCAGUCCCCUCGCUGGUGCGGAAUGCCGCUGGGUGCCCGGAGGCAGCCAUGGUGUCUCGAUGGACGGCAGCCAGGAUGGAGCACCCAUGGGUCUCACGGCCAUGCUCCAGGGUCUUCAGGUCCUGCCCCCGGCCAAUCUGCCAAGAGGCACCCCCUUCCCCAGCCUCUCGCCUGCACUGAUGCAGACAAAAUCUCACCUGGCAGGCCCAUCCCCCCCACCCCUCCCCCACCGUGUGUGGCCCCUCGCCGCAUCGUUGGGGUUUUGUUACGUGAAAAUAUCCUGGAAAUACAUGUUUCUGCACUUAGAGCCAGGGACCUGCCGCGUUUGUGCUGUGAGCAUGUGUGGUUCCCCCAGGCCGUCUUCUCCCUUGGGAGACCCCUCAGCAUAUGGCCUCUGGCAGGAUGCACCCC